ACGGUCACAUGACAUUAUGGCGUAGGUGCAAAACCUUAAUAAGGGCCUGGGCCAGCAGGCAGUAGCCAGAAAAGGGUUCAAUUCCCUGUUGCCUUUGUUGUGUCCUUUAGCAAGGCAUCCCGUGUUGCUCUGGGGAAACUGGCCCUUCUUGCAGUUCCAUCUGCCCAUAUGAACUCCAGCAGUCCCCCACGUAGCUCCAUCUCCACAAUCAUGUCCAACAUCUCUUCCCACCCAACAGAUGCAUGUCCGUUGCUCUAUUCCAAAGAAGAGCCAUUGCUGCUGGCUUUGAGGUUCGGCGCCUCCUCGUCUGUCCACCGGUCACCUGCUCCGGGGCUCUGGGGGCAGGGGAGGUUGGGGCGAUCGCGUCGCCGGAUCAUCUG